UGUAUAUCUUCUUUGGAGAAAUGUCUAUUUAGGUCUUUGGCCCAUUUUUGGAUUGGGUUGUUUGUUUUUUUGAUAUUGAGCUGCAUGAGCUGCUUGUAUAUUUUGGAGAUUAAUCCUUUGUCAGUUGCUUCAUUUGCAAAUAUUCUGUCCCAUUCUGAGGGUUGUCUUUUCAUCUUGUUUAUAGUUUCCUUAGCUGUGCAAAAGCUUUAAAGUUUAAUUAGGUCCCAUUUGUUUAUUUUUGUUUUUAUUUCCAUUUCUCUAGGAGGUGAGUCAAAAAGGAUCUUGCUGUGAUGUAUGUCAUAGAGUGUUCUGCCUAUGUUUUCCUCUAAGAGUUUGAUAGUGUCUGGCCUUACAUUUAGGUCUUUAAUCCAUUUUGAGUUUAUUUUUAUGUAUGGUGUUAGGGAGUGUUCUAAUUUCAUUCUUUUACAUGUAGCUGUCCAGUUUUCCCAGCCCCACAUAUUGAAGAGGCUG